UUGAUCCUGGCCAGGAUGUUGCUAGCGGCGCGCUUAAUGCAUGCAAGUCGAGCGAUGAGGCCUCUUCGGGGGGUACAUCAGCGGCAGACGGGUGAGUAACAAGUAGGUGAUCUACCCCAGAGACGGGGAUAACGGGUGGAAACAUCCGCUAAUACCGGAUAGGCUUGUUCGGUCAAAGGGACAAGGAAAGGCUCCGGCGCUCUGGGAGGAGCCUGCGGCCCAUCAGCUAGUUGGCGGGGUAACGGCCCACCAAGGCAGAGACGGGUAGGGGGUGUGAGAGCAUGGCCCCCCACAAUGGGACUGGAACACGGCCCAUACUCCUACGGGAGGCAGCAGCAGGGAAUAUUGCACAAUGGACGGAAGUCUGAUGCAGCGACGCCGCGUGGAUGAAGAAGGCCCUCGGGUUGUAAAAUCCUUUACAGGGGGAAGAGGAAGGACGGUACCCCUGGAACAAGUGUCGGCUAACUACGUGCCAGCAGCCGCGGUAAGACGUAGGACACAAGCGUUAUCCGGAUUUACUGGGCGUAAAGCGUCUGCAGGCGGACAGGUAAGUUGGGCGUGAAAGCUCCGGGCCCAACCCGGAGAGGUCGUUCAAUACUGCGUGUCUAGAGGGUGUCAGAGGGGAGUGGAAUUUCCGGAGUAGCGGUAAAAUGCGCAGAGAUCGGACAGAACACCAAUGGCGAAGGCAGCUCCCUGGGGCAACCCUGACGCUAAGAGACGAAAGCUAGGGGAGCGAACAGGAUUAGAGACCCUGGUAGUCCUAGCCCUAAACGAUGGAUGCUGGAUGUGGGGCCAUAGCGCUCCGUGUCGAAGCGAACGCGUUAAGCAUCCCGCCUGGGGACUACGGCCGCAAGGUUAAAAUUCAAACGAUUUGAGGGGACCCCGGACGAGCAGCGGAGCGUGUGGGUUAAUUCGAUGGCUACACGAGGAACUUUACCUGGGGUU
rnacentral:rRNA from 1 species